ensembl:misc_RNA
UUGACAGCUCUGGAGACUGAUGCUCUCUAUUUAUCCAUUGAACAAGUACAGCACCACCAGCAGCAGAAUACGCUUCCUCUAUACAAGCCCCUGUGGAAGUAACCCAGAGGGACCUCCUCCAGGGAUGAGAGGGGAGCUCAUUAUAUAUGACCUGUUCUGUCCUUGACACCU